GAUGAACGCUGGCGGCGUGCCUAAUACAUGCAAGUCGAGCGAACGGACGAGAAUCUUGCUUCUCUGAUGUUAGCGGCGGACGGGUGAGUAACACGUGGAUAACCUACCUAUAAGACUGGGAUAACUUCGGGAAACCGUAGCUAAUACCGUAUAAUCUUUUGCACCGCAUGGUUCAAAAGUGAAAGACGGUCUUGCUGUCACUUAUCGAUGGAUCCGCGCUUCAUUAGCUAGUUGGUAAGGUAACGGCUUACCAAGGCAACGAUGCAUAGCCGACCUGAGAGGGUGAUCGGCCACACGGGAAGUGAGACACGGUCCAGAGUCCUACGGGAGGCAGCAGUAGGGAAUCUGCCGCAAUGGGCGAAAGCAUGACGGAGCAAGGCCGCGUGAGUGAUGAAGGUCUUCGGAUCGUAAAACUCUGUUAUUAGGGAAGAACAGAUGUGUAAGGAACUGUGCACAUCUUGACGGUAACUAAUCAGAAAGCCACGGCUAACUACGUG
rnacentral:rRNA from 1 species